UUAAUUGAAGCCAAAUAGAGGCUUAUCACUGUUAAUGAUAUCAUUGAAAUUUAAUUUCCAAUUAAA
rnacentral:tRNA from 1 species